CCUACGGGAGGCAGCAGUGGGGAAUAUUGCACAAUGGGGGAAACCCUGAUGCAGCGACGCCGCGUGAGUGAAGAAGUAAUUCGUUAUGUAAAGCUCUAUCAGCAGGGAAGAAAAUGACGGUACCUGAGUCAGACGCCCCGGCUAACUACGUGCCAGCAGCCGCGGUAAUACGUAGGGGGCAAGCGUUAUCCGGAGUUACUGGGUGUAAAGGGAGCGUAGACGGCAGUGCAAGUCUGGAGUGAAAGGCGGGGGCUCAACCCCCGGACUGCUCUGGAAACUGUACGGCUGGAGUGCAGGAGAGGUAAGUGGAAUUCCUAGUGUAGCGGUGAAAUGCGUAGAUAUUAGGAGGAACACCAGUGGCGAAGGCGGCUUACUGGACUGUAACUGACGUUGAGGCUCGAAAGCGUGGGGAGCAAACAGGAUUAGAUACCCCAGUAGUC
rnacentral:rRNA from 1 species